CUCCGGUAUAAGUGAGUUACAUGACAGAUGUAAGUACAUAAAAAUACCAAUUUUUAGAGCUUGGUUCACAAAUGAUUUCUUACAAUUUUCCUUGAGAGAUUGAAGUUUCGACUGUAUGAAAAGCCCCAGCAAAAGCAGGCAUGGAGCCCAGUGAAGAAAGAGCAUUCCUACGGGGGACUGAGUAAAUGUUUGAUGGUGUUGAUCAUAUUCUUGCCCAAGACUGAGAGACUGUCCCCAACAGAGAGAAUUCUCUCAAGACGCACCAAAGCAAAGCCCAGAUUCAUGCCUGAGGGAGAGGCUAAGUGAUGAGAGGCUAAAUGAUGAAGAAAGUUGCGAUAUACAUAAGAUUUUAUUUAUUCAUUUGACAUGGACAGAGAGAGAACAUGGGCAGGAGGAACCACAGAGGGAUAGGAAGAAGCAGACUCAUGACUGAGCGGGGAGCCUGAUGUGGGGCUCAAUCCCAGUACCCUGGGAUCAUGACCUGAGCCAAAGGCAGAGGCUUAAUCCACCGAGCCACCAGGGCACCCCGUGGCUUUUUGAAAACCUCGAUUCAAAAACAGCAACCUUCUA